rnacentral:lncRNA from 1 species
GGAACAACAGGGUCACUAAACUAUUUGGCUGGCUACAACUCUGGGAAAUGGUAAGACAGGGAAAGGCCAUGUUGUUCAUUCCCUUGUGCAGAUCUAGGGAGAAGCCGCAGAGAGAACAGUUAGCAUUUCUUGUUACAAUGAAUUAUCCUAUUAAGAACACUGGAUGUACAGUCUCUUAAGAGAAGAGCUUGUCCUGAGGAAGGUGAGUAGUAAUCUAAAAAUGUCUUUAUAUUUGAGUUUUAAAAUUCAGGAACUAUUGAGCAUCAAUGUGGAAGUUGAGUGCUGAGGUCAAAUGAUGUUGCUUGGGCUAAGA